CUAAACGGAAGUGGAAUUUGGGGGGUUACAUGCAGUCGGUUUGCUACUUAGUACAUAUGAUGCAGGUCCUGGUGCAUAAGAUUUUAAAAAUGUAUCUGAAAUGAAGAGUUUAGGUGUCAGUUUAAAGGUACAUGUGUAAGUCACAGGGCAAAAGGCCUGAUUUGUGCAUUUCUUUGUAUGUUAGUGGUUGCCAGCCUCAAUAGUAGGGCAUGGUUUUUGCCUUCAAAUGGCAGUGCCGGUAGCUGUCAAAACCGGUUCAUAUGCUCUAAGGUGGUGUCGGAAUUAGUCUAUAGCUCUGCCUGAACUGCUGUCCAAUUGGUUUACAAGUCCGGCUGAAGUGACAGGCCAUCAAAAACUGCACAGUAUGACUGAUUCGGAGACGGCCCUCAACACUCGCCCAGUCGUGGCGAGAGGAUCGGUGUCUUUGCAGAUUACACGGAAUUGAGCACCCGGGCCAGACUGACACUUUCCGGAGCCUGUCCGAGACGGAACUCGAGCCGAGGAAUCAUAGGUCCAGGUGUGACAGAAAACUUAAAGCUCAUGUCUGACGAUGACUUUUUUUGCGUCAGGAAGUAAAGUGUGUUGUUUUCCCAUGCAAGCAAGCCCUUUUGUUGGGUCAAAUGACAUCAGAAAUGCUGCUUCUACAUGGAUUUUACCUAAAAUGUGCCAAAAAAUAUAUAAAAAGUUUGUUCGGAUCUUGUUCAAAACCUGCUAUGAUGCACAUAUAAUGCCAUUGAUGAUUUGUUUUCACUUAUUAAGUCAUAUGUUACAUCUGCUAUGCUAUUAGAAUCGAAAGUGAUGCCUUGUAUGGAGUCUAAGUGCUGUCUGUAUGAUGUAACCAAGGUCGGCUUUUCUACUUUAAUUCUUGACGCGAAACGCUGUUACGCGUGACGCUUUCAACGUCAACUUUAAUGAAUAAAUCUGUGUGUCAUGGUACUGGAACUUUGUGAUCUUUUUUAAAACAGAUUAUACCUAUGGAAAAAGUGCCUUUAAUUCAAAUUUGAAGGGGUUGGGUUCCCUUAUAGGUUACAUUAUCCUAAACGGAAGUGGAAUUUGGGGGGUUACAUGCAGUCGGUUUGCUACUUAGUACAUAUGAUGCAGGUCCUGGUGCAUAAGAUUUUAAAAAUGUAUCUGAAAUGAAGAGUUUAGGUGUCAGUUUAAAGGUACAUGUGUAAGUCACAGGGCAAAAGGCCUGAUUUGUGCAUUUCUUUGUAUGUUAGUGGUUGCCAGCCUCAAUAGUAGGGCAUGGUUUUUGCCUUCAAAUGGCAGUGCCGGUAGCUGUCAAAACCGGUUCAUAUGCUCUAAGGUAAUUAUUUUGAGUUACACCGUAUAGAAUUUUUUCAAAUGCAGUUUUUUUGUAAGUUUAUGAAACCACCUUUCCAGUCAUGUAUAGUUAUAUAUUGGCUUAUCGCUCGGUCAUGGUGAAAUUUGAGAUCAAAGAUUGCGAAUUCUAUAUAUAACAAAGAAGGAAAUU